rnacentral:rRNA from 1 species
GUAGGUGGCAAGCGUUGUCCGGAAUUAUUGGGCGUAAAGCGCGCGCAGGCGGUUCUUUAAGUCUGAUGUGAAAGCCCACGGGCUCAACCGUGAGGGUCAUUGGAAACUGGAGAACUUGAGUACAGAAGAGGAAAGCGGAAUUCCACGUGUAGCGGUGAAAUGCGUAGAGAUGUGGAGGAACACCAGUGGCGAAGGCGGCUUUCUGGUCUGUAACUGACGCUGAGGCGCGAAAGCGUGGGGAGCAAACAGGAUUAGAUACCCUGGUAGUCCACGCCGUAAACGAUGAGUGCCAAGUGUUAGGGGGUUUCCGCCCCUUAGUGCUGCAGCUAACGCAUUAAGCACUCCGCCUGGGGAGUACGGCCGCAAGGCUG